rnacentral:lncRNA from 1 species
CUCCCAUAAUCUUUUCUGUUAUGCAAGCAGUAAAAAUGCUGGUGGGUAUCAAUGUUUCCUUAUACCUUAAGCACCACUUAGCUAUACAAGCACACCCCGUUCAACAAAACAUCUGAAAAAAACUCCUUUUCAUGAAAUCAUUUUAUGCCUGACCAGCCAUCUCCUCCAACCCAAUUGUUUAUCUAGCAUCUGCAUUGGGAACAUAGUGAAGGAGGACUGGAGAGACACAGAUAUUCGGUGUCAGGUUGUAGCAGGGAAAGUAAAUAGCAGCUUUCUUGAGUAUCCCUUACUGAAUAUGCAGUAAAAGGGAAGUAUAAAAGGAAAAGAAUAGGUAAUCUUACUUUACCAGUUCCUUCCAGUACAUUGGGGUGGGAAGUGUAGCUCUCUCUAUAAGUUUGUCCCACAAAACAAAAAUUAUAGGAAAGGUGGAAGCUGAUGAAGUAAAAACAUUGUCCCCAGACCACCUUGAAAGAAAGUUUCAAAUGGUUUCUGAAAGGUUGGAAAUAUAUUUUGUUUACUUCUGCAAAGCUUACGUGAACUUGUUGUUUUACAUCACGUGAGCAUUGUGUGAGUUUUGGAUAAAAACUUAGUUGAAACUUACUGAAACACUCUUCUUUUUGAUGGUACAGAAACCUGUCCCUAUUACUUAAUGUCAUUUAUAUUUCUUUAUAUUUAUAUUUAUAGUUACUUGGGAAGGCCAAGAGCUCGAACACUGUUUCCAUCCUAAAUACCUUGGUGUCACCUUAGAUCGAACACUAACAUAUAGGAAACACUGCAUGAACACCAAGCACAAAGUAGCUGCACGCAAUAACAUCCUGCGGAAACUGACUGGCAGCGCAUGGGGUGCAGACCCACAAGUAGUAAGAACAUCAGCCCUGGCCUUGUCUUUCUCAACUGCAGAGUAUGCCUGUCCUGUUUGGCACAAGUCUGCCCAUGCAAAGCAGGUGGACAUAGCACUGAAUGAAACAUGCAGAAUCAUCACGGGAUGCCUUAAACCUACACCUGUUGAUAAACUCUACAAGUUAGCUGGCAUUGCCCCUCCUGACGUGCGACGGGAAGUUGCUGCUAAUGGUGAGAGAAAAAAGGUCGAACAUUGUGAAAGCCACCCACUGCAUGACUAUCAGCCUCCUCCCACCAGACUCAAAUCAAGGAAGGGCUUCAUGAGAACCACCACUCCUCUUGAUGUUCCUCCAGCAGCAAGGGUGUCUCUCUGGGCAGCUAAACCUGACAAUUCCAACUGGAUGGCCCCCCAAGAGGGUCUUCCUCCAGGGGCAAACCAAGAAUGGGCAACUUGGAAGUCCCUGAACAGACUCAGAAGCGGAGUGGGCAGAUCAAAAGACAACUUGGCAAGGUGGCACUACCUGGAGGAAUCCUCCACCUUGUGUGACUGUGGAGCUGAACAAACAACUCAGCAUAAGUCUUAUUAUUAUCUUAAAUUACAGUUUAUAUAAAGAUUCAAAACAUUUAACCUACUGAUGCCUCAAAUAAUGCAAUUUUAUUAAUAUCUAUUUUUAUUUUUGAAUUUGACCCGUAGCUGCUGCAUUUCCCACCCUCGUCUUAUACUCAAGUCAAUACGUUUUCCCAGUUUUUGUGGUAAAAUUAGGUGCCUUGGCUUAUAUUCGGGUCGGCUUAUACUCGAGUAUAUACGGUAUAUUCACAAAUUUUGGUGCACAAAUUAAUGUAUAGAGCCAAGAGUGAAAACUGAAGGAAGAAACAACACAUUUUACGAUAUGUGAAUGACACUAUAUUACUAGCAAAAAAAUGGACAAUGGGUUGAACUGCUGAACUGAAGGUUGGCAGUUCGAAUCCGCGAGACAGAAUGAACUCCCGUCUGUCAGCCCUAGCUCCCUGCCAACCUAGCAGUUCAAAAACAGGCAAAUGUGAGUAGAUAAAUAGGUACUUCAGUGGGAAAAGGCAAGAGAUGUUGCAACCAAUCUUGCCGGCCACAUGAUCAGAAGGUAACAACACAGGCUCCUCGGCUUGAAAAUGGAGAAAAGCACCUCCCAGAAGCCAGAGAUGAGCACCACCUCCAGAAAGCUAUGUGUGUCUCGCUGUAUUUGUGGACAUUGAAUGUUUGCCUAUACUGUAAUCUGCUCUGAGUUCCCUAGGGGAGAAGGAUGGAAUAUAAAUAAAGUGAAUUAUUAUUAUUAUUAUUAUUAUUAUUAUUAUUAGCAAUGAUUUGGAACAAUUAUUGAACAAAGUCAAAGAAGAGAGUAAAAAGGCAUAGAUCAUUUAAAUAACUUUAAACAAUAAAAACGUAUUGUACAUUGUACAGCUACCUCUCCAACUUCCCUUUCCUUCUCUUGCAGGAGCUAUUUGUAGCUCUUCUUCCUUCUACCUGUUCUGUCUUCACUCUGUAUAAUAAACACUUGUACACCAUAAAUUUCCAUCACUUUUCUCAUCAUUAUGUAAAAUGGGAAAAUUUAAUCCCAUGCAAUAAAACAAUACUGAUUUUCACCAAACCAAUGAAAGCUACACCCAGCAGAUUUUUAAAAACAUUUUGACAACUUAAACAAAGUCGUCAUAGUACAUUUACUUGCUAUAAUUAGGUGAACUCAUUCUCUAACCAAAAUAUUUUAAAGUUAAAUAAUUUAGCCAUUCUGUACACAAUUUUUCUGAAUGUUUAUACUUUAUUGAAGAGAUAUUCCACACCAAAUUCGAUAUUGUUACAACAAAUCAUACGAACAUAACUACCACGCUUCACACAAUUCAAAAACCUAAUUCUUUUGUCCUAAAGAAAAGUAAUGUAUUAACCAGGUCCCUUGCCAAAAAUUAAAAUAAAACCUAAAUAAGAAUUCCAAAUCCCUAGCCUUUAUAGCAGGCAUGGGCAAAUUUCGGCCCUCCUGGUGUUUUGGACUUCAACUCCCACAAUUCCUAACAUCCAGUAAGCUGUUAGGAAUUGUGGGAGUUGAAGUCCAAAACACCUGGAGGGCUGAAAGUUGCCAAUUCCUGCUUUAUAGCAUAUUUAAACACUGAAAUAGUUGCUCUUGGUUGCAAAAAUAACACCCAUUUGUAAAUUAUAUUGCUUCUUGUAGGAUAAAAUCAGUAAAUUGCUUUACUUUCCAAUUUAUUUUUAACUUUGGGGGUGCGGAUGGAGAGUGGAGGUCAGGCCUUAAAGACAUUAUAUAAAUAUAAAACUCCUUGACAGUCAACCAACAUUCUAGAAAAAUAUCUCAAUUUUGCAUCUCUUCCUUUGCUUCUCCUAUCAUAUUAUGAUAAUUUCAUUGAAGAAAUAAUAAGUAUUUCUUUAAAUAGAAUAGAGGGUAAGGCAGACUAAAAUAGAUAAAUAGUUUACACUAGAUAGGUUAAUGUCUAUUUCACUGUAGCAUUUAUUUUCAUCUUUGGAAUACAGUACAUGAUUGUGUAGACAAGCAGAAGCUGGUUCCUGUAAUUCAGCCUGUCUCAGAGUCAUGCCUGGGGUGAUUCAGGUCUGGGUAGAUAUAUUCAGCCUUCUAGGACAUUAGCUCACCGGUGCUGGGGGAAAGAAAGAUUUUCUUAAAGGAAUAUGACAGACCUGAAUUCCAUGUUUGAAAAAGCCAUUGACUGUGCCCUAGAACACUUAUAAGGUAAUAACAACAACUGAAAAAUUAAUGAGAAAAGAAAAGGUUGCCCUUAAAAUAUAAUACUAAAAACCACGAAGCUCAAAAUCUUUAGCCGUGUGAACUUUGCCAGAUUGAGAUGGCCUUCAGUAAUAAAUCUUGGGAGUAAUCACUGGUUACCUAGUCACAGCUUAUUAUGGGUUAUGGCGGAAGGCCUGUUUCCAUAAUCUGGGAGCGAAAGGCCAGUAACAAGGGGGGGCGAACGCAUCUCUUUGGGGAGGAAGUUCCAGAGCCACAGGGCCACCACCGAAAAGGCCCUCUCUCUCAUUCUCAUCAACCAUACUUAUGACGGUGGUGGGACUGAGAGAAGGGCCUCUCCUAAUGAUCUCAGGGCUUGUGUGGGCUGAUAGGAAGAGAUGUGGUCCCUCACGUAGGCUGGGCCCGAACCAUUUAGGGCAGCAUUUCUCAACCUGGGGGUCAGAACCCUUGAAGGGGUUGCGAGGGGGGUGUUAGAGGAGUCGCCAAAAACCAGUAUUUUCUGUUGGUCAUAGGGAUACUGUGCGGGAAGUUUGGCCCAAUUCUAUCAUUGGUGGGAUUCAAGGGGCCCUUUGAUUUUAGAUGAACUAUAAAUCCCAGCAACUACAACUCCCAAAUAUCAAGCUCUAUUUUCCACAAACUCCAUCAGUUUUCAAAUUUGGGCAUAUUGGGUAUUUGUGCCAAAUCUGAACCAGAUUCAUCAUUGUUCACCUUCACAAUGCUCUCUUGGAUGUAGGUGAACUACAACUCCAAAACCCAAUGUCAAUGCCAACCAAAUCCUUCCAGUAUUUUCUGUUGGUCAUGGGAGUUCUGUGUGCCAAGUUUGGUUCAGUUCCAUCGUUGGUGAGUUCAGAAUGCUCUUUGAUUAUAAGUGAACUAUAAAUCCCAGUAACUACAAUUCCCAAAUGACAAAAUCACACACCCCCCAACCCCACCAGUAUUCAAAUUUGGGUGUACUCUAUCUGGUAUUUUUGCCAAAUUUGAUCCAGUGAAUAAAAAUAUACCCUGCAUAUCAGAUAUUUACAUUACAAUUAAUAACAGUAACAAAAUUGUAGUUAUGAAGUAGCAAUGAAAAUAAUUUUAUGAUUGGGGUCACCACAACAUGAGGAACUGUAUUUAGGGGUCGCAGCAUUAAGAAGGUUGAGAACCACUGAUUUAGGGCUUUAUAGGCUAAAACCAGCACCUUGAAUAGCGCCCAGAAACAAAUUGGAAUCCAAUGCAGCUGCUUCAGUAGCAGGGUAGUUCUUUCCCUAUAUCCCACUCUCAUAAACAGUAUCAUGGAAAAUGUCAUCAGUAGUCCUCUGACCUGUCUACACACAGUGUGGAGUCCAGAGCAAACAACACCAUCAGCAGAUCCUUCUGGGAUUCAAGGCUCUGGAAGAUGCUCAACAAUGGCACUUCCAGGCCUGGUUGGGACUUCCAUUUUUAGUUUCUUGAAGAAUAUUGUUCCUCACAAAUGUUUUGGUGCUAUUCUUCUGACUUUUCCUCAAAAUACAAAAAUAUGCAGUUUAACUAUUUCUUUAUGUAUAUUGCUUAACACUGUGGUAUUUCAACAACACUUUUAUUUCUACAUGCCUGCCGUCAAGGACACCAUUGAAAUCCCAAAGAUUUUCUUCACAACUAGACCCUCAGCUGCAGAAGUCAGGAAUAUUAUUCACAGAACACUGUACCAGCUUGCACAAAUUUAUACAGUCAGCCCUUCAAAUAUGUGGAUUUAACUGUUGCAGACAUAGGGCCCUUCCACACAGCCAUAUAACCCAGAAUAUCAAGGCAGAAUAACUCACAAUAUCUGCUUUGAACUGGAAUAUCUGAGUCCACACUGCCAUAUAUCCCAGUUCAAAACCGGUAAUGUGGGAUUUUAUUCAGCUGUCUGGAAGUGGUCUUAGUUAUAUGAAAUGUGAUUAAUGGUCUUUUUAGGAAUGUCUGGGUUCUCUCCUAGAAUGUUAUUAUAUUAGCCCCUACUUCCUACUCCGAGCUGAUCAUAGAUUUGUUCUUGAGGACCUGGAGAUUCCAAGAAAGGUGUUCUCACAGAUAUAUUAUUAUUUUAAUUUGCUCUUUUUUCUCUUUUUCAGCAGUCCUGUGACUCUAAUCUUGGUGAAUGUGGAGGGCUGAAAAGCAGAGGGCUCAUUACUUUUUUUCCUGAAGGAGGAGGCACAACACUUCAGCUGUGAUUUCAUCUUGAAGUUUGGAUAUACAGUAUUCUGAACAUUUUAAAAAUCCA